UACGGAGGGUGCAAGCGUUGCUCGGAAUUAUUGGGCGUAAAGGGCAGGUAGGUGGUCUCAUUUGUCUGGGGUGAAAGCCUUGAGCUUAACUCAAGAAGUGCCCCAGAAACGGUGAGACUAGAGGUCUGGAGAGGGUCGUGGAAUUCCCGGUGUAGCGGUGAAAUGCGUAGAGAUCGGGAGGAACCCCAGAGGCGAAAGCGGCGACCUUGACAGAUACUGACACUCAACUGCGUAAGCGUGGGGAGCAAACAGG
rnacentral:rRNA from 1 species